GAGGCAGGCAGUGUCCUAACAGGAGGUAUAGCACGCACAACAGCAGCUACUCAGUGAGGCUCAGAUCCUUCACCUGUGAAAGGAGCUAUAGCGUCCAUUCAACUUUAGCUCCACGUGGCCAUCUGCCCGGCUGCUCUGCGGCCUUUGGUCUCUGCGUUUGCAGUUUCUUGUCUUACUAAUUCUAGGUCUCUAGUGUAGAAGUUAAGAACUCUUAACUUUCCUUGGCUGCCAAGGCGCAGGCAGGCGACUUGGACUCUACCAGUCAGACACAUCACCUUGAGACUCCAGGAAAUUGGUCUGGGAAUGAGUGAAGAACAACUGGAAGAAAAAGAAGAAAGGCUGAUCUGGCGCACGGAGAGAAAGGGUGAUGGCUUCGCAGUUCCCCGGUAAGAGCCUGAGCGAUCUGAAAGUCACCCACACGCACUGCACAGUUUACUUUCUUCCUUUGCUUUGAAUCACAAACCAGUUCUGCCCCUGGGACCCUUGACAUCUCAGAAGGACAUGUUGCACUUUAACAAAGACAAUCACUGUUAGCAACUUUCUCCAGAUUUUUGACAUGAACACUGGAGAAAACUCAGAACUCAUGUUGAAGCCAAACCUACUCUCCACAGAAGAGAAGACCCUGUGGGGUUCAGGUCAUGGUCCCCAGGGACCUACUGCAAGAUGGUAAGUAGGUCUGCCCCCUUGCAGGAAGCCGACUUUUAGCAGAAAGCUGCUGUCAUCUCUGAAGCCAUCUCGGGCUAUUUUCUUAUAGGUGGAACUUUUCCACCCUGACGAGAGACUUGUUUUCCUAGCAUGAUGGUUUUGUUGUUGUUGUUGUUUGUUUUUGUUUUUUGUUUUUUGUUUGUUUUUUAGAACAUGCCUAAAUUUAUUAUUUAAUACAAAAAAAACCAAACAAACCACAAAACAGCAACAGUUUCCAUCAUUAUUUCCCUAACAACUUUCUGGGACACCAUUAUUGCCUGGACUGACACUAUAGGUCUAGUAAUCCACCAACAGGCAAAUCUCAGCCCACCACAGCUGAACACACUCUGAUAUCUUGUUUUUCUCCUAUACAUCCCGGAGCUGUGGUUAAGUGUCUCCAGCUGCACUCCCCAGCAAGUACCCACAGGUGCCUUUUACUCGAGACUUGAGACAUGAGACUUAAGCAGAUAGACUGUGUUGUCUCCAUUCUUCUUUGUGUCUCUUGCCCCUACAUCCCCACUCUCUCUUUUGCAGACCCUGUUGACUGACCCAUGGGCCAAGUCAGAAGGGUGUUUCAGAUAUAUAGCAAUUAAGGCAAGUUAACCCAGCAGAGCAAUAAAUAACAAACAGAACUUAAUCCCACCAAAUUCCAUCAGAUCCUUUAAUUUAUUUUUUUAAUUAGGUAUUUUCUUCAUUUACAUUUCAAAUGCUAUCCCAAAAGUCCUCCAGACCCUUCCCCUCCCCUCCCCUCCUACCCCUCCCACUUCUUGGCCCUGGCGUUCCCCCGUACUGAGGCAUAUAAAGUUUGCAAGACCAAGGGGNNNNNNNNNNNNNNNNNNNNNNNNNNNNNNNNNNNNNNNNNNNNNNNNNNNNNNNNNNCAGACCCCUUUAGCUCCUUGGGUACUUUCUCUAGCUCCUCCAUUGGGGACCCUGUGUUCCAUCCAAUAGCUGACUGUGAGCAUCUACUUCUGUGUUUGCCAGGCCUUAGCAUAGCCUCACAAGAGACAACUAUAUCAGGGUCCUUUCAGCAAAAUCUUGCUGGUGUAUGCAAUGGUGUCAUCUUUGGAGGCUGAUUAUGGGAUGGAUCCCCGGGUAUGGCAGUCUCUAGAUGGUCGAUCCUUUCGUCUCAGUUCCAAACUUUGUCCUGUAACUCCUUCCAUGGGUGUUUUGUUCCCAAUUCUAAGAGUGGGCAAAAUGUCCACACUGGUCUUCGUUCUUCUUGAGUUUCAUGUGUUUUGCAAAUUGUAUCUUGUAUCUUGGGUAUUCUAAGUUUCUGGGCUAAUAUCCNNNNNNNNNNNNNNNNNNNNNNNNNNNNNNNNNNNNNNNNNNNNNNNNNUUGUGAUUGGGUUACUUCGCUCAGGAUGAUGCCCUCCAGGUCCAUCCAUUUGCCUAAGAAUUUCAUAAAUUCAUUCUUUUUAAUAGCUGAGUAGUACUCCAUUGUGUAAUUUAAAAACAGCUUAAUUUCCAUUUGCAUGAAGUUAUGAAUCAACCAAUUAAAUUUUAUUUAUUCCCUAAAUGAUGAGCACAUUGGAUCUAGGUAUUCAAUAACAUAAUACAGGUGAAUAUAAUUCAGGUAUUUAUCAAGCAUAUUUAGUCUAUAAGGCCAAGAACAAAAUCUUGGGGGAUAAAAUUUAACUAAUUGAAUUUCCCAUAGUAUGCAGAAACUUGAAAAUGUGAGUAUGGACAUUUAGAAAGUGGACUUCAGUACCAUGAGGGUGGGAGCCUUGCAAAGAAAGUACAAGCUUGGUAUCAUCUCUCUGGGGAUUCCCUGGAGCUGGAGGCAUAGGGAGCCAUGUGAUGUGGGUGCUGGGAACCUAACCAGGUCCUCUGCAAAAGCAGCAGUUGUUAACUCUGAAGCCAUCUCCCCUAUCCCAUAUAUAAAAAUGUAAUAGUUCAGGACACUAUAUUGCAAUAAAUGCCACAAAUAAU
ensembl:processed_transcript 4930511M06Rik RIKEN cDNA 4930511M06 gene